GAGUCUCAUUUAAGAGAUAUCUGUGGGGUCCAGAUGGCUUAUUCAUGUCCAGUGAGUUGAAGAGCUGGUCUGACAGCAGGCAGUACUGCAGGGAUCAUGGAGCUGAUCUGACCAUUGUCAACACUGAAGAGAAGCAGGUGAGUUUGUGUGAGUGUCAGUUAAUGAAUGAAAUGAAUCACACCUAUUCUUGUUUUUAUUCACACAGAGACAUAUAUCUUCAUUGGUCAAGGAGAGACCUUGGUUUGUCUGACACAGAGAAUGAGGGCAACAUGAAAUGGGUGGAUAAUUCACCAAUGACUCAAGGUGGCUAAUGAACCGGACGUAUCACACAUUCACGGAAAACAGCAUACUUGGAUAGAGCUACCGCAAAAAAACGGAAGUUAAAAACCACAGCUCAUCUGUAAAGACAUACUGCAAGACACAAGAACCAAAAAUGGAAUUGGAGUACUCUUAUGAAAAUGCUGAACACAGAAAUUUUUGGGAGACAACUGGACCUCAAACACACUGCCAA